GGAGAAGAACAGUAGCUCAGUGGUAGAUCACUUGCUUUGAAUGCAAAAGGCUCCUGGUUCAAUUCCCAACAACUCCA